rnacentral:lncRNA from 12 species
AUGUCAUGUUAUUCCAAGACGUUCUCACUUUGCCACCACCUUCAUCCACCCCCCGCUUGCCAUCUUGAAGGAGGGCUGCGGAGCGGCCGGGGAGGCGGGCUGCGGUGCCACCGUGGUCUGGGGGGCUGCGUCGCUGCCCUGCCCCCUGGGCGAGUGGAGGGGUGGGCACUGAGCCGGGAGCCCGGCUUCGAGCUCCGUGGGGCACCGAGCCUGGCCACGCUUCCUUGGCACGCUUCCCUAUGCAAAACGGGGAGGGGCUGUGCUCCCCAAGCCCCGCUGCCAUCAGACUUGCCGCAGAAGAACACAAAACCAAACAGGCUCUCGGGCUGCACCCCGAGACACUUCAGGGAGCCAGAGGGCUCAUCACUCCUGCCUCCUCACCCACACUCAUCUUACUGCUCCCAAAAGGCAUUUAGUCAUUUGCGCCUGUGCGUGCGUGUCAUGCCCUGGCGGGUUCCGCGACGUGAACUUCCCACACGGCACAGAGAAAGGCGCUCAGCCCCGGAGCCAGCUGCUCCCAGGGGACACCAGGUGCUGUCCUGCAGGAAACGGAAUUCCCCACACACGGUUCAACGGGACAGAGGAAUGGAGGGGCUGCUGACAGAGGUGGGUGGCAUCUGGGGGACCGGAAAGGAUCACGAGGCUCUGCGAUGACAGGCGAUGCUGGCAUCCCACACCUAAGGAGGCAGGGGCACACAGAGGAGAGCUGGAGGAAAGAGGGGCUGCCUCCCAAGAGCGCAGUCACAGAGGGAGGGGGCCAUUCCCGGGGCCACAGCAUCACGGCGGGGAGAAGCAAAGGAGAAAAAGACCCAUCUUUCUCCUCCCACCUUCCCUUCUCAUUCUGGUACCUUCCAUCGGCCAAGCCCAGGCUGCAGCCAGAAGCCCCAGCAGCCCCGAGAGGUCCCCCUCCUGGGGCACAGAGAAGGGCAGAGAGGGUUUUGCAGGGUGCAGGGUGGGUAGGAAGCAAGCAGAGAGCACCCAGCUACUCAGGCAGCCCGGCAACCUCCCAGCAACUCCACACCCCCGCCUGCCCCUCUCCACUCCGCGGGGUUCGGGGGGGGGGGGUGCCCGUGCCCCACACAGGCGUCGGAAGCCGGGCUUGCAGCCCCAUCUCUGCCACAAGCUCAAAGGACACCGGCAGGAAGUCACCUCCCCGCCCCGGGCCCUGGUCUCCGCAUCUGCAAACCCUACAGGCUACAGGAGCCAUCCCUCUGCAGGCCUGACCUGAGAUGUUCCUUGCCCUGCCUCUUCUAGAAGGGAGCCCUGCUCGGGCGGCAGGAAAACGGGCUCGGAGAAGAAGAAGGAAGCCUAGCAAAUGGAAAAUUAAUUCUGGACGGUAAAGAGCAGAGGCUGUUGUUUGUGAUGUAUAACUUACUCUUUGUGUCAAACUGUGUACUGUGAAUAUCAGUGGGAUGGCAAGAAAACCGAGAUCUAUUGCUUCGAGUGUAAUCUGUUCUCGGCGUUGGAGCAGGGAAGGGAGGGGGAGGGAGGCUACCACUUUAAUCACAGGCCCAACUCGAGAUGUCAAGCUGCUCUCGGGUGUGUUAGUGAAAUGAUGUUGUAUUACAGGCUUCCCAGACAGCACCCCACACUGCAGCUUUAUCUGCCGAGCCGUAAAUUAGCACACCUACUUUACGCUCUUCAGGUAAAACCA